CCGAAAAUUGAUGUUUUGAUUUUUCCGUUUCCUAUUUUUAGGUUUUUGUUUUUCCUAGCUUUGUAUGCAUAUGGAUUUUCUUAAACUAGCUAAUUGUGGCUGGUAAUUUUGUUCUUUUUCUCCAUAUAUAACUAAUGCUUUAUGGAUUUGUUUUACAUAGAUCACUUCUUUUGUGAAGCAGAUGAUGAGAGAUCAUGGGAUCCAUUCUUCGUCGUCUCAGUUGUUGGUCCUUUAUUGUUCAUUUGUUGCCGUUAUCGUUUAUCCACUUUAGGAUACCUACUGCAGAAAUGAUCUAUUUCAAGACAAAAAGUAUUGCUCAAUCUUGUAGCACUACAGUUAUUAUUUGUGAAAGAGAUGCAAGUGAAGAAUAAGGUCAAGAGGACAAAAAGUGAAAAGCAAGCUGCAGUGCAAAAUUCAUUUUCCUGCAAAACAACCGUUGAUAAAUAGGAAAAAAAAUAUUAUAAAUUUACAUGUGAUGGAGCCAAUUAGAAUUUUUAGAGAACUACCACAUGUACAUAUGUUGCUAUAUUUUAUGUUUUAGUAGGUAGGUCAGUGUUGUGAAGAGCGUCAAGCGAGGAAAAGCGAGAAGCUCCUUUUUUCUUAAAGAGAGAAAAAAUGACAGUUAGUAAGAAAAUGGCAGUAAGAACUAAGAAGAACUGGAAGACUAAAACAGAAAAAAAUGGCAGUAAGCAAGAAAACAAUUGGGCAGCAUUUCACCGCGAUUUUAAGGACCGAAACGAGGAGAAGGAGAAGAAGAAGAAGAAGAAGAAGAAGAAGAAGAAGAAGAAGAAGAAGAACUGAAGGAAAAAAAUUGGCAGUAUUUCGUCGCUAUUUUAGGAAUUCAGUAUUCCCGAUUAUUUAAUCUCUUUCUUCAUUCUAGAUAUUAAACAACUAACGUGUUUCUUUAAGGCGCAGAGCGUGUAAAAAGGUCAAAAGACAAGAUAAUAUUG